GAGCACUACCUCUCUCAGUGCAAUGAGAUCACUGAAUGCCCGCCUGAGCGACUUAUCAAAUGGAUAAGAAAUGGCAAGAGAUGCUGGAAAUGUGGACACACCAGCCACAAUUGUAAUGAGUGCACACUGAAGAAACCAUGCCUGGAGUGUGGGGAUGUGCACCUCAGAGUUCUCCAUCGCAUAGCAGAGCAGGGCCCGAGCAUCAUGCUAGUUACAACAGCAAGCGACCGCAUCUACGUGACACCACCUAGCUCUACAGGACGUGUCUUCCUAAAGGUCACCCCCGUGCUACUAUGGAAAGGCGAGAAGUCUAUACAAACCUACGCCAUCCUUGAUGAUGGGGCACAGCGCAGCAUUAUCCUCCCUGCGGCGGUCCAGCAACUAGGCCUACAAGGAAAGAAGGAGGUUAUGGCCCUUCGAACCAUUCGACAUGAUGUUACUCAAAUGGAGGGACGAUCAGUCCAGUUUCAGCUUUCAUCCCAGUCCAAACCGAACGAAAGGUACAACCUAGCCGGUGUAUUCUCCGCACCUCUCCUGACUCUGACUGAGCAUACAUACCCGAUCAAGAGACUUCAGCGGAGCUAUUGUCACUUACGGGGUAUUCCACUUCCGUCAUUUAGUAAAAUUCAGCCUCUACUCUUAAUAGGAUCCGACUACUUAGGUUUAAUCGCUACGAAGGAACCCAUUAGAUUGGGCCCCGAUGGCAGACCAGCUGCUGUACACACGCAGCUCAGUUGGGUGCUGCAAGGACCAGAUGGGCUUCUUCUGCACCAGGUAUCGCCUCAACAGUGCUUACUCACUUCCCUUUCUGCAGCGCGAGAUCCUAUUCUCCAACAGGUCGAACAGCUGUGGCAGUUGGACAUUCUUCCUUACGAGAAGCUGGUAAUGCGUUCACGACAAGACCAACUUGCCAUAGAACUGCUGGAGAGCAGAACACAGCGUGUGAAAGUGGAUGGAACAUGGCGUUAUGCAACCCCUCUCCUACGUGCCCCAAAUGCACCACCACUGAAGGGUACCAGAGAUUACAUUCUACACAAUCUUAGGAGCACAGAGAAAAGCUUGGGUAAAGAUUCAGAGAAAGCCAAGGUUUAUGAGGCCGAGAUUCAGCGUGUGAAAGUGGAUGGAACAUGGCGUUAUGCAACCCCUCUCCUACGUGCCCCAAAUGCACCACCACUGAAGGGUACCAGAGAUUACAUUCUACACAAUCUUAGGAGCACAGAGAAAAGCUUGGGUAAAGAUUCAGAGAAAGCCAAGGUUUAUGAGGCCGAGAUUCAGAAGCUUUUGGAUGCAGGAUAUGUUGUUAAGGUAUAGUUAGAAAUUCUACAUUCAGAUGAAGAAUCAUGGUUUAUCCCACAUCAUCUUGUCCACCACAACGGUAAGGACAGACUAGUUUUCAACUGUUCUUUCAUCCAUCAAGGUCUCUCCCUCAACCAGCAGCUCCUUCCUGGCCCUUGCCUUGGUGCUUCAUUACUAGGAGUCCUGAUUCGAUUCCGACAGCACAUGGUCGCAAUCAGCGGCGACAUACGCGCU
rnacentral:lncRNA from 1 species